rnacentral:rRNA from 1 species
GGGUGAGGAGAGUAUCCUAAGGCCAGCGAGAGAACUGUUGUUAAGGAACUCGGCAAAAUGAACCCGUAACUUAGGGAUAAGGGGUGCCACCAUCAGGUGGCCGCAGAGAAUAGGCCCAAGCGACUGUUUACCAAAAACAUAGGUUUCUGCUAAGUCGCAAGACGAUGUAUAGGAGCUGACGCCUGCCCGGUGCUGGAAGGGUAAGGGGAUCUGUUAGAGCAAUCGAAGCAGUGAACUUAAGCCCCAGUAAACGGCGGCCGUAACUAUACCGGUCCUAAGGUAGCGAAAUUCCUUGUCGGGUAAGUUCCGACCCGCACGAAAGGCGUAACGAUUUGGGCACUGUCUCAACAACAGACUCGGUGAAAUUGUAAUUCCGGUGAAGAUGCCGGAUACCUGCGACAGGACGGAAAGACCCCAUGGAGCUUUACUGUAGCUUGACAUUGGGUCUUGGUACUACAUGUACAGGAUAGGUGGGAGGCUUUGAAACCAGGACGCCAGUUUUGGCGGAGCCAUCCUUGGGAUACCACCCUUGUAGUACUGG